AUAUAUAUUUUGGUGGAAUAUUUGGAGGACAUCUCUUUCGAUUUUGAUAUCUCAUCUCAUCGUUCACUCUUUACCGGGGGGGGAACCUCUCUCCUCUCUCCCACCGUCUUCGAGAUCUUGGCCGAUUUGUGCUCUUCGAGUUCUCAUGAUGUUUAUUUCCCGUCUUUUACCUUCCAAACCUCACUCUUCUCGGCGAUUCGUUUGAUUUUACAAUUUGGCUUGGCUUUGAACAAGUUCAUCGCAAAUUGGAUACCAGAAUUGAUUCACACUACUUGGACCAACUUCGUGGUAGUCGAAUUCGAUGCCAGAAUCGACCCAAAUGACAACCUACGCCUGGUAAAUCUCUCUCUCUCUCUCUGUUAAUUGUUGGUAUAUAUAUAUAUCCAAUUCAAUUAUUUGAUUUGUACUCGUGGAUUUUCUUACGCCUUAUUAGUUUCUUACUAUUCCUGUUUAAUAUGUACUACAAGUGUGUUGCGGUGUGGUGUGGUUUGCAAUAAUAUAUUGAAUAGAAAAUUGGGUGUAUA